UAAUGAUGAUGAUGAUGAUGAUGAUGAUGAUGAUGGUCGUCAUUAUCGUGAUCAGCAACAACA
rnacentral:miRNA from 1 species